rnacentral:sRNA from 1 species
GUCGCUACAACCACAGCGACCGGGAUUGGCGUCUCGACUACGUAGGAAGACAACCGCCGUAAGGCGGUUCUUCU